CCCGUUAGCCGAGUGGUGGUCAGCUAGUGAGCUGAGGCCACUCGUACGCAGUGGCAUUCCCGUGAAUACACGGGCGCCGGCCGGCCGGGGAUUUCGUCGCCGGAGAGUGUAGAGUAGACUGUACAGAGAGAAUUGUUAGCUGUGUAUCAGGAGAAAGAUUAGAGACAGGGGAGGGGAUAUCUAGAGAGAGGGGUCGGGAGGGGCCAAGAUAGAGGGGAGGGUGCGCAGGAAGCUGAUGAGGCUCUUGUCGUUCGUGCCCUGCGGCUGCCGUGCUGGACCCAUCGACGACGCGCCGCCUGCGGAUCAGCUGCAGCAGCAGGCUGCUGCCACGACCACCGGCGCGGCGGCGAGGAGGAGGCGGAGGAGGGCCAGGUCGCUGGGCGGCUCGCCGCAGUGGAGGCCGGCGCUCGGGGACAUCUAUGAGGGUGUCGCGGUGGACGUGGGCAAGGCCGCAGCGGGUGGGCGCGUCGUCCCGGCCAGGCCCGGCAGGGUGGCCUCCAGGGUCCUGCCCCGCGCGCACAGCGACGAAUACAGGCACAUCGAGACGGCGUCGUCGAUGCCGGCGUUCGCGCCGACGGCGUUCCUGUUCUGAUGACGGCGGCGGACCGGCGAUGACGACCACGAAAACCAAGCAGCAGAAUCGGAAAUCUAUAUACAGAUUGCUAUUACUGUCUACGUAUUGCAGGACUAAGGAUCUGUACAGGGAAUAAACCGGCUCCCCUGAUGGCGGGCUGGAUUAAUUAAUUAAUUAAUCAACCACUCCUACUAGUCUAUAUGCGCGUCAGUGCGUGCCGCGUGUACGUAAGUGUGAUGUGUGUGUAUCUCGGCAGGGUACGGUUGCCCUGCCCUGUACAUGCGUCACGUACCAUGCAUGCAUGACCUUGUAAAUCCUAUGUCGAACUCAUGGUGUAAAUGUCAUGUACAUAUAUCUGUAAUAAAAUUAUUAUAGUUUAUAGUAUAAAUCAAAGUAUACGGUACAUCUUACCAAAAC
rnacentral:rRNA from 1 species